rnacentral:rRNA from 1 species
UACGUAGGGUGCAAGCGUUGUCCGGAAUUAUUGGGCGUAAAGAGCUCGUAGGCGGUUUGUCGCGUCUGCUGUGAAAACUCGGGGCUUAACUCCGGGCCUGCAGUGGGUACGGGCAGACUAGAGUGCGGUAGGGGAGACUGGAAUUCCUGGUGUAGCGGUGAAAUGUGUAGAGAUCGGGAGGAACACCGGUGGCGAAGGCGGCAUCCUGGACCAACACUGACGCUGAGUGAGCGAAAGCCAGGGGAGCAAACGGG